rnacentral:rRNA from 1 species
AUUGAACGCUGGCGGCAGGCUUAACACAUGCAAGUCGAGCGGAGAUGAGGUGCUUGCACCUUAUCUUAGCGGCGGACGGGUGAGUAAUGCUUAGGAAUCUGCCUAUUAGUGGGGGACAACAUUCCGAAAGGAAUGCUAAUACCGCAUACGUCCUACGGGAGAAAGCAGGGGAUCUUCGGACCUGGCGCUAAUAGAUGAGCCUAAGUCGGAUUAGCUAGUUGGUGGGGUAAAGGCCUACCAAGGCGACGAUCUGUAGCGGGUCUGAGAGGAUGAUCCGCCACACUGGGACUGAGACACGGCCCAGAUUCCUACGGGAGGCAGCAGUGGGGAAUAUUGGACAAUGGGGGAAACCCUGAUCCAGCCAUGCCGCGUGUGUGAAGAAGGCCUUAUGGUUGUAAAGCACUUUAAGCGAGGAGGAGGCUACUGAGACUAAUACUCUUGGAUAGUGGACGUUACUCGCAGAAUAAGCACCGGCUAACUCUGUGCCAGCCGCCGCCGUAA